rnacentral:lncRNA from 1 species
GGGGGGGUUCCCCAUGCCCUGGGCAGGACCCCCGUGCCGGGCUGAGCCCCCCCUGUCCCCGCAGCUCGUACGAGAUCACGCCGCGGGUGCGGACGUGGCGGCAGACGCUGGAGCGCUGCCGCAGCGCCGCCCAGGUGUCGCUGUGCCUCCUCCAGCUGGAGAAAUCCAUCGCCUGGGAGAAAUCCGUCAACAGAGUGACCUGCCUGGUUUGCCGGAGAGGGGAUGACGACGAGCACCUGCUGCUGUGCGACGGCUGCGACCGCGGCUGCCACCUCUACUGCCACCGGCCCCGCAUGACAGAGGUGCCCGAGGGAGACUGGUUCUGCUCCGUCUGCGUGGCCAGGGCCGGGCAGUACCGGGACCCCAUCUCCCCCCGGCGGGGCAAGAAACGGAAACGGGGCCGGGGGCUCGGGGGCAGCCCCGGCGAGGAGGAGGAGGAGGAGCCGAGCCCGCGGCGGCGCCGCCCGGCCCCGAGGCACCGGCGGGGGCUGCCCCCGGUGUCCCCCCGGUGCCGGCCCGGGGAGGCGCCGAGCCCGGCCCGCAGGAGGAGCGGGGCCCUGCGGGGGCAGCCCGGAGACCUGACCUACUGCGAGUGAGUGGGGAGGGGAACGUGGGGAGGGGGCUGCGCUGGGUCAGGGACCCCCUGUGAGUGAGUGGGGAGGGG